AUUGAAGAAGGAACAUCUUCUCCGUGAGCGUGGUCUUGGUCUUGGUGUUGUUUUUGUGCACACCUUGACGAAUACUGAUUUGAAGGGCAAUGGACUGCGUAUACCGAAGGAAGUUGUUAGGUCCUUGAAUAUCUCUGAAAGCGGCGAGGCAUGUUUUUUUGUUGAUGACUAUGGCUACCGCCCUAAGGGUGCAUACUACACUACUACUGAUGGAAGGCUGAAGUUCGAUUCCUGCUGGUCGGAGUUUGCUAAGGAGUAUAACUUUGAAUCUGGGAGUGUUGUUCUCCUUCUUUUCAACCAGGGCGGCCGUGGUGGUAUUGAAGUUUCAGUUGAUAUCAUAUGAUAUAAUCUUUAUCAUAUGAUAUAAUUGUUUUAGUCUACAAUUUGUGUGUGUCCAUUGUGUGUUUAUGUCAUUUUGCUACCCUGGCCGCUUGUUUGACUAUAUAUGUCGCAGUAUCUAUUAUGCA